rnacentral:rRNA from 1 species
UACGUAGGGUGCAAGCGUUAAUCGGAAUACUGGGCGUAAAGCGUGCGCAGGCGGUUUUGUAAGUUUGUCGUGAAAGCCCCGGGCUCAACCUGGGAAUUGCGAUGAAGACUGCAAGGCUAGAGUGUGUCAGAGGGGGGUAGAAUUCCACGUGUAGCAGUGAAAUGCGUAGAUAUGUGGAGGAACACCGAUGGCGCAAGGGCAGCCCCCUG